UUUUCUUUUGCCUCUUUCAAUUUCUUUGUUAAGCUCUCCCUUAUUCUUACCAAAAAAUGAUUCCAAAGACGGAAAGGCAUGGAUUGACUGGCAAGUGCUCAUACGUUCAGUUUAAUAUCCCGUCACUUAUUUGGUCACUGCUCUUGAGAUCAAUUUACCCAAACUCGACGGCAAGACUUAAAAGGUGUAUAAAGGAUGGAAGAUUUGGUAGACUCUGCAUUUCAAGCAACUUUGGGCAAAAAUUUGGUUAGCGUAUACAAAUAUGGGAGGUUAUUAUUGACUCUGCUGCUAGUGUGCUUGGAAUGUGUGAUCUUCACCAGUUCAGCCUGAUAACCUAAUUAAUGUUUUUGAACACUCGAUGAUUCAACUCCAAAAGUUUGAUUUCCAAAACUCUUGCCUUGUUCAUGUAUGAAGACAACUAGUGGAUAAUAUGUAUUUUUUAGAGUUUUAGUUUGUAUUACUACCCAUGUUUUCUCUGUAAGUGUUUGCAUCUGAUGACUAAUUCAAGAUUAUCUUUUUGAAGGAAAAAACAGUUUUAACAUUGAA